rnacentral:rRNA from 1 species
UACAGAGGGCGCGAGCGUUGUCCGGAAUCACUGGGCGUAAAGCGCACGUAGGCGGCUUUGCAAGUUAGAGGUGAAAGCCCGGAGCUCAACUCCGGAAUUGCCUUUAAAACUGCAUCGCUAGAAUUGUGGAGAGGUGAGUGGAAUUCCGAGUGUAGAGGUGAAAUUCGUAGAAAUUCGGAAGAACACCAGUGGCGAAGGCGACUCACUGGACACAUAUUGACGCUGAGGUGCGAAAGCGUGGGGAGCAAACAGG